AUUGAACGCUGGCGGCAGGCCUAACACAUGCAAGUCGAGCGAACCUAGCUUGCUAGGUGAGCGGCGAACGGGUGAGUAACGCGUAGGAAUCUGCCUGGUAGUGGGGGACAACGUUCCGAAAGGAACGCUAAUACCGCAUACGCCCUACGGGGGAAAGUGGGGGAUCUUCGGACCUCACGCUAUCAGAUGAGCCUGCGUCGGAUUAGCUAGUUGGUAGGGUAAAGGCCUACCAAGGCGACGAUCCGUAACUGGUCUGAGAGGAUGAUCAGUCACACCGGGACUGAGACACGGUCCGGACUCCUACGGGAGGCAGCAGUGGGGAAUAUUGGACAAUGGGGGCAACCCUGAUCCAGCCAUGCCGCGUGUGUGAAGAAGGCCUUCGGGUUGUAAAGCACUUUAGGUCGGGAGGAAGGUUCGCUGGCUAAUAUCCAGCGGAAUUGACGUUACCGACAGAAUAAGCACCGGCUAACUCCGUGCCAGCCGCCGCGGUAA
rnacentral:rRNA from 1 species